rnacentral:misc_RNA from 1 species
UCCGUCUUACAACGGCAGUCUCGCUAGAGUACUCGGCUUUACCCGUGAGCAACUAACGAUAGGGGUUGCGCUCGUUAGAGGACUUAACCCGACACUUCACAGCACGAGCUGACGGCAGCCAUGCAGCACCUGUGACUGUUCCACCCUUGCGGGUGUGGCUCCUGUUUCACAAAGUUAAUCCGUGCAUGUCAAACCCAGGUAAGGUUCUUCGCGUUGCCUCGAAUUAAGCAACAUGCUCCACCGCUUGUGUGAGCCCCCGUCAAUUUCUUUGAGUUUUAGCCUUGCGGCCGUACUCCCCAGGCGGGGCGCUUAAUGCGUUAGCUGCGGCACGGAACUCGUGGAAUGAGCCCCACACCUAGCGCCCAACGUUUACGGCGUGGACUAC